UCCAUUGGCCUAAAUACUCUAAAAGCACCAGAUUCUGCCUGAUCUUGGAAGAUAAGCAGGGCCAGUCCUGAGUAGUACUUAGAUGGGAGACCACCAAUGAAUCCCAGGAUAUAUUUCAG
rnacentral:rRNA from 1 species